rnacentral:snRNA from 1 species
CAUCGGCGUGCUGCUCCCGAUG